GAGGAAUAUUGGACAAUGGGUGCGAGCCUGAUCCAGCCAUCCCGCGUGAAGGAUGACGGCCCUAUGGGUUGUAAACUUCUUUUGUACAGGGAUAAACCUAGAUACGUGUAUCUAGCUGAAGGUACUGUACGAAUAAGCACCGGCUAACUCCGUGCCAGCAGCCGCGGUAAUACGGAGGGUGCAAGCGUUAUCCGGAUUUAUUGGGUUUAAAGGGUCCGUAGGCGGAUCUGUAAGUCAGUGGUGAAAUCUCACAGCUUAACUGUGAAACUGCCAUUGAUACUGCAGGUCUUGAGUGUUGUUGAAGUAGCUGGAAUAAGUAGUGUAGCGGUGAAAUGCAUAGAUAUUACUUAGAACACCAAUUGCGAAGGCAGGUUACUAAGCAACAACUGACGCUGAUGGACGAAAGCGUGGGGAGCGAAC
rnacentral:rRNA from 1 species